rnacentral:rRNA from 1 species
AUGCCAGACUCCUACGGGAGGCAGCAGUGGGGAAUAUUGCACAAUGGGGGAAACCCUGAUGCAGCAACGCCGCGUGAGUGAAGAAGUCUUUCGGUCUGUAAAGCUCUAUCAGCAGGGAAGAAAAUGACGGUACCUGAGUAAGAAGCCCCGGCUAACUACGUGUCAGCAGCCGCGGUAAUACGUAGGGGGCAAGCGUUAUCCGGAUUUACUGGGUGUAAAGGGAGCGUAGACGGCGAUACAAGUCUGAAGUGAAAGCCCGGGGCUCAACCCCGGGACUGCUUUGGAAACUGUGUUGCUGGAGUGCUGGAGAGGCAAGCGGAAUUCCUAGUGUAGCGGUGAAAUGCGUAGAUAUUAGGAGGAACACCAGUGGCGAAGGCGGCCUACUGGACGGUGACUGACGCUGAGGCUCGAAAGCGUGGGGAGCAAACAGGAUUAGAUACCCUAGUA